rnacentral:rRNA from 1 species
GGGUUGUGAGGUUAAGCGACUAAGCGUACACGGUGGAUGCCCUGGCAGUCAGAGGCGAUGAAGGACGUGCUAAUCUGCGAUAAGCGUCGGUAAGGUGAUAUGAACCGUUAUAACCGGCGAUUUCCGAAUGGGGAAACCCAGUGUGUUUCGACACACUAUCAUUAACUGAAUCCAUAGGUUAAUGAGGCGAACCGGGGGAACUGAAACAUCUAAGUACCCCGAGGAAAAGAAAUCAACCGAGAUUCCCCCAGUAGCGGCGAGCGAACGGGGAGCAGCCCAGAGCCUGAAUCAGUAUGUGUGUUAGUGGAAGCGUCUGGAAAGGCGCGCGAUACAGGGUGACAGCCCCGUACACAAAAAUGCACAUGCUGUGAGCUCGAUGAGUAGGGCGGGACACGUGGUAUCCUGUCUGAAUAUGGGGGGACCAUCCUCCAAGGCUAAAUACUCCUGACUGACCGAUAGUGAACCAGUACCGUGAGGGAAAGGCGAAAAGAACCCCGGCGAGGGGAGUGAAAAAGAACCUGAAACCGUGUACGUACAAGCAGUGGGAGCACGCUUAGGCGUGUGACUGCGUACCUUUUGUAUAAUGGGUCAGCGACUUAUAUUCUGUAGCAAGGUUAACCGAAUAGGGGAGCCGAAGGGAAACCGAGUCUUAACUGGGCGUUAAGUUGCAGGGUAUAGACCCGAAACCCGGUGAUCUAGCCAUGGGCAGGUUGAAGGUUGGGUAACACUAACUGGAGGACCGAACCGACUAAUGUUGAAAAAUUAGCGGAUGACUUGUGGCUGGGGGUGAAAGGCCAAUCAAACCGGGAGAUAGCUGGUUCUCCCCGAAAGCUAUUUAGGUAGCGCCUCGUGAAUUCAUCUCCGGGGGUAGAGCACUGUUUCGGCAAGGGGGUCAUCCCGACUUACCAACCCGAUGCAAACUGCGAAUACCGGAGAAUGUUAUCACGGGAGACACACGGCGGGUGCUAACGUCCGUCGUGAAGAGGGAAACAACCCAGACCGCCAGCUAAGGUCCCAAAGUCAUGGUUAAGUGGGAAACGAUGUGGGAAGGCCCAGACAGCCAGGAUGUUGGCUUAGAAGCAGCCAUCAUUUAAAGAAAGCGUAAUAGCUCACUGGUCGAGUCGGCCUGCGCGGAAGAUGUAACGGGGCUAAACCAUGCACCGAAGCUGCGGCAGCGACACUAUGUGUUGUUGGGUAGGGGAGCGUUCUGUAAGCCUGCGAAGGUGUGCUGUGAGGCAUGCUGGAGGUAUCAGAAGUGCGAAUGCUGACAUAAGUAACGAUAAAGCGGGUGAAAAGCCCGCUCGCCGGAAGACCAAGGGUUCCUGUCCAACGUUAAUCGGGGCAGGGUGAGUCGACCCCUAAGGCGAGGCCGAAAGGCGUAGUCGAUGGGAAACAGGUUAAUAUUCCUGUACUUGGUGUUACUGCGAAGGGGGGACGGAGAAGGCUAUGUUGGCCGGGCGACGGUUGUCCCGGUUUAAGCGUGUAGGCUGGUUUUCCAGGCAAAUCCGGAAAAUCAAGGCUGAGGCGUGAUGACGAGGCACUACGGUGCUGAAGCAACAAAUGCCCUGCUUCCAGGAAAAGCCUCUAAGCAUCAGGUAACAUCAAAUCGUACCCCAAACCGACACAGGUGGUCAGGUAGAGAAUACCAAGGCGCUUGAGAGAACUCGGGUGAAGGAACUAGGCAAAAUGGUGCCGUAACUUCGGGAGAAGGCACGCUGAUAUGUAGGUGAAGUCCCUCGCGGAUGGAGCUGAAAUCAGUCGAAGAUACCAGCUGGCUGCAACUGUUUAUUAAAAACACAGCACUGUGCAAACACGAAAGUGGACGUAUACGGUGUGACGCCUGCCCGGUGCCGGAAGGUUAAUUGAUGGGGUCAGCGCAAGCGAAGCUCUUGAUCGAAGCCCCGGUAAACGGCGGCCGUAACUAUAACGGUCCUAAGGUAGCGAAAUUCCUUGUCGGGUAAGUUCCGACCUGCACGAAUGGCGUAAUGAUGGCCAGGCUGUCUCCACCCGAGACUCAGUGAAAUUGAACUCGCUGUGAAGAUGCAGUGUACCCGCGGCAAGACGGAAAGACCCCGUGAACCUUUACUAUAGCUUGACACUGAACAUUGAGCCUUGAUGUGUAGGAUAGGUGGGAGGCUUUGAAGUGUGGACGCCAGUCUGCAUGGAGCCGACCUUGAAAUACCACCCUUUAAUGUUUGAUGUUCUAACGUUGACCCGUGAUCCGGGUUGCGGACAGUGUCUGGUGGGUAGUUUGACUGGGGCGGUCUCCUCCUAAAGAGUAACGGAGGAGCACGAAGGUUGGCUAAUCCUGGUCGGACAUCAGGAGGUUAGUGCAAUGGCAUAAGCCAGCUUGACUGCGAGCGUGACGGCGCGAGCAGGUGCGAAAGCAGGUCAUAGUGAUCCGGUGGUUCUGAAUGGAAGGGCCAUCGCUCAACGGAUAAAAGGUACUCCGGGGAUAACAGGCUGAUACCGCCCAAGAGUUCAUAUCGACGGCGGUGUUUGGCACCUCGAUGUCGGCUCAUCACAUCCUGGGGCUGAAGUAGGUCCCAAGGGUAUGGCUGUUCGCCAUUUAAAGUGGUACGCGAGCUGGGUUUAGAACGUCGUGAGACAGUUCGGUCCCUAUCUGCCGUGGGCGCUGGAGAACUGAGGGGGGCUGCUCCUAGUACGAGAGGACCGGAGUGGACGCAUCACUGGUGUUCGGGUUGUCAUGCCAAUGGCACUGCCCGGUAGCUAAAUGCGGAAGAGAUAAGUGCUGAAAGCAUCUAAGCACGAAACUUGCCCCGAGAUGAGUUCUCCCUGACUCCUUGAGAGUCCUGAAGGAACGUUGAAGACGACGACGUUGAUAGGCCGGGUGUGUAAGCGCAGCGAUGCGUUGAGCUAACCGGUACUAAUGAACCGUGAGGCUUAACCUUACAACGCCGAAGGUGUUU